rnacentral:sRNA from 1 species
AAAUAAACCGCAUUGAAGCGGUAUACUUUUUUACCCCUUUCGGGUAAAAAAGAUUUAGCGAAAAGGCGGACCUCCC